CCCAGAUAAAAAUGGAGAGAGGAAGGGCUUUCCUCAGCUUCUCCACCCAGCUUAGGAGAGUAAUAGCAGCUUGCAAACAACCUGGACUAGUGCGUUGGCUCCAGAGAAGAGGUCAGGAGAUUCGGAAUCUCCAUCAUACAUUUCCAACUUGCAUGCAAAAAUAAUCAGGAACCUAAGCACAGUACCCAGAAUUUGGGGGAACACAGGAGAGAGUGAGCAGUCAGUGAUGAGAGGGGCCGGUGCUGGCCUAUCCUCGGAUUAGGGGACUCUAGUGAAUGGAUGUCUUCGAGUACGUAUCCGAGGAGUGAUUCCACUGUUACCUUUCUGACAAACAACUGAGUAUGCCCUGUGCAUUCAUCCAUAGCACACACUCCCACCUCAGUUCAGAGGUGGCCUGUCCAGUCACACUAAUUUCUUGUCACCAGUCCCAAUCCCAGAAGCUCAGUGGACAAAUUGCUCCCAGGGGGUGACAAACAACUUGGAUAUUUCAAGAAGUUGCCUUAGCUUUGAGGCUGUCUGGAGAGAAUGGAGAGGCUGAACACGUGGGACACAGGAGGCUGGGCCAGCACUGGAGCACCGCAGAUUCCCCGUCCAGCCCUCCCCCAAGGUGUGACCUGUGCGAGAAAUGGAUCCACAGCUGCAGUUUCAAAACCGGCCCUGCCCAAGCUGGUCACCUCCAUUGCAAAAGAGAAGAAAACUCUCCCCAGCCUCCCAAAGACCAAUACUGCCAACACUUUGGAAAUAUUUCUGUCAGGUCAUUUUUCCUGCAUCAAUUUCUGUUUGGUUUUCACAUUGUUCUAAUCAUACUGUGUUUACAACUUUGUAUCCUGUUGCAUUUAACAUCCAGGGUGUAUCUGGAUUUUUUUUCUGCAUGUUAAAUUUAUCCUGGUUAUUAUAAAUGUUCAUUUUCCAUAUGUAGUUAUGUAAAGAGUAUCAUUCCAUUGUUUUUUUUCUUUCUUCACAGCAAACUUUGAAAAUGUUGCUUCCUCCCCAAUUCCUCCUCUCUCUCUUUCAUCCUUCUUUCUCUCUUCCCUUUUCCCUUCCUGCUGCUUACUAGUCCCCCCUUACUGCCUUCUUCCAUCUCUGGAGUCAGGAGCAGGGGCUCUUUCCUUGGUAAGAGACACAGACAGGACAUCUAUAAAGCCACAGGUCCAGGAGUCCUGGGGCACCUGCUUGGCAGAAGGAAAACAUCUGAUGAUAAGUCUCCCAGCUGAUUGGUAACUAACUCCACCCCUGGGCUGGAUGUGAGGGUGUGGAGAGGCAGGUGAGGCUGGGGCAAGGUGUCUCAAGAUGUUACCUAGGGUGUUUAAGAAUAUAGAGUCUCGGGCCUGGGAUUUAGCUCAGUGGUGCCACUGCCUGCCUGGCAAGCGCAAGGUCCCGAGUUUGAUCCCGGGUACCAAAACAAAACAAAACAAGAAUAUAGAGUCUUGGGUCGGGGAUUUAGCUCAGUGCUGCUGCCUGCCUGGCAAGAACAAGGUUCCAAGUUCGAUCCCUGGUACCAAAAAAAAAAAAUAAAUAAAAAUAAAAUAAAUAUAAGAAUAUAGAAUCUCUGAAAAAUGGAAAUAAAACACAUUCCAUUUAGAGUGAAAGAGGGUCUGGUCUGUCAGUAAGCCCUGGCCCAUCGUGGAAAGAGCGUUUCAUUAUCAUAGAGUAUUCACAGUAAUGUUUCAAAAAACCUGUGAGUCCUUCUUUUGCUUGGUGUCAUUAAUGGGCAGGUGUACACAGUCCCCACCUCCGCCACCUACACACUGUCCUUCCUUCUUCUCUGUCUGUCUGUCUCUCUCUCUCCCAACCCAGUGAAAUUUCCAAAGGCAUCUUUGUUCAGUAAUCAUGACAAUCUCCCUUGUCCCAAAUGCUUCCCUGUCCCCAGCCCCUGUGCAUAUAUUUCUCAUCAUGCCACAGGAGGUAGGGACUAUCACGCCUAGAGCAUGCCUUGCUUGUCCCCAGUCACUUGACCAGAUCACACAAAGAAAAAGCAGGAGAGCCUGGAUUGAAACUCAGGUGACUGACCCCCAAAGUCCUUUCCCUGAACCACCACACCCCACUGUGUUACAUUUGUGCUUCACAUUUUCAAAUCAAGAAUGCAGUGCUGGUGGAAAUUAAUUGCAGAGACACUCAUGAUGUUCAAAGCUCUUGCACUGUGAAUGUAGAUGAUGUACCAAGGACUCUGCAUUGUUGAUGAUUCAGAUUUUGGGUGACUGCAUGGAAGAACCUAUCUUUCCCUAAGUUUUCAGGGAGCUGAGGUGGUUCAGCUGCUCUUAUAGAUGUUGAGGCUUUGACUCCAUGACUAAGGGCCUCAGUGGGAAAGGACUGUGUGUUGCACUGGUCUAAUCUAAUUAGGACACUGCUGCCUGUCUCUGAGGACUGGAAGAGUCCACCCUCUCUCAUCCAGUGCCUCUGUUCUGUCUCUUUAUUGGCCUCAGAGCAGGGAGUAUACCAAAUAAAGCACCCCGCCAGGAAGAAGGGGUCACCAGUGUCAGGCUGAAGACCCCUCUGUGCAGCUGCCUGGAGACUCCUGCAUGACCUUCCCUUGGGGAAGCAGCUGGGCCUGGCAUGUACCCACCCACUAGCCACAUGUUUCCUGCCCCAAAUGUCAUUUGACCAUGAUAUAAUGAGCUGUAUAAAAUUAAAAAUGGCUAAAUACCACCUUAUUUACAGUAAUUUUCUACUUUCUGAAGUCAUCCCCAAACCUCUCCUUUACAACACCGACCUCCAGAUCAUGCCAAUUGCAGUGAGAAGCCCAUCAUUACAACCACAGACCACGAGGAAACUAGCACAGGACCUGGAGCUUGCUGGCUCACUGGCUGCUGCUCUGGCCCCAUCAGCCUGUUUUUCCAUCACAUGCUUUUUAGGCAGUAGGGAACUGGGCAGAGGGAACCCUCAGUUCUCUGCCCCCAAACUGGGGACCCUUAAGAAUAUCUCCAAGUAAGCAGCUGGGUUCAGAGGAACGUGUACAUCCACUUGCCGGAGUUGGAGUUGGGAUUUGGGCUUCUGCAAUCUGCACUUGGGCCUUACAAAGUGUGAGUCUUAUUUGUAGGUGGCUCUUGAGUCAUUGUUGUGUCUUAAUCUGUGUGGACAGUCUUGCAGCACCCUCCUUCUUCCUAAGGCUAUCUGUUAUGGACUGGAUUGUGUACCUCUUCCAGCCUCCAAUUCAUUUGUUGAAGCCAUAAUGUGGCUCAGAAUGUGACUAUAUCUUUACCAAGGGCCUUUAAGGAAUUCAUAAGUUAAAUAAGAUCACAUGGAUGGGCCUUCAUUAGAUAGGACCGGUGUCCUUAGCAGAAGAGGAGGAAACACUGGAGCUUGCUCUCCUCAUGCUCACAGAGAGAAAGAGGGCCCUGCCAACACCUUGACCUGGGAUUUCCAACCUCCAGACCUGAGAGAAAAAAAAUUCUGUUGCUUAAUCUACUUGGUCUGUGGUAUUUGAUUAUGGCAACCUUAGAAAAUGAAUAUAUCGUCUGUGUGAUUUCUUAUAUGAUAAGGUCUUACAAUGAAACAUAAAUGAAUUGAUGACUAUUUCUAUAAGGAAACUGAUAAGAACCCUUGAGUUAUCAUGGGAAGAGUUAAAUUCUCCAUGCUUGAGCUAGUUUAGCCAGUUCUUUCUUAUUGGCAAAAAUUCUACAGUUGAAAUUAUUUAAGACAUUAACUAAAACAAUCUUAAGUCUCUCUAUUUCCUGCUCUUUCUGUUCCCGUUACUUUUUUUUUUUUUUUUUUGAGAUAGGAUCUUACUCUGUAGCUCAGGCUGGCCUUGAACUUUCUAUCCUCUUGCCUCAGCCUCCUGAGUGCUGGGAUUACAGGUGUGUAACGACCACAUUUGGCAUCCCACUACUCUUAAUCACUCUCAUUCCUCCUCCUCUAGUCCAACCCUUGGCAAGUCAGGGCAUUGGCCUGUUGACAUUGAGCACUCUUCCAGGCCACCUCUGUGUUAGGCACUGGAGGUAUAGGAAUGAAGGAAGCAGAUCAUGGCCCUUGCUCUUACAUGGCUUCUGUUGAAGUAGGGGAAAGCAGAAAUCAAAAUAAACAAGGAAUGUAUCUGAGAGUGAAAAGCUAGUGAGUAAUUCAAACCACAGCAGUGUGAUAGUGGCUGAGAGCCUGCUGAGAUGGGGCAAAGAGAAACCUGUCCUGUCCACCCUUUCAGAAACAUUUUUCACCUUGCCUCUGUUGCCACCCCCACCACAUGAACCCAUGUGCCUUGGCUGGGUUCCUGCCAAAGCUUUCUGACUGGUGGUCUAUCUGCCACCUCGUUGGCCUUACUGUAAUCUACUUUCCAUAUAGCAGUUAGUGGAUUAUUUUAAAAAUGCAGCCAGUUCUCAUUAUUCACAAUAGUCAUGCUCUAUAAAGUCAACUCAAACACUGAAUUAGGGAAUGUGGAAACAUUGCUCCUGGGGGGAAUGCAGGGCUGGCUUCCUUCAAGCCUCUGGCCACAACACUCCUCCACCCAUCACUAUAUGACCUUGUUUUAUGUGAGUUUCUGUGUAGACACCUUGUUUAAUCCAUAUUUCUGACUCACUAACAUUGAACUCUCAGCCAGUUGCACCACAGCAGCCUGCAUGGAGCUUCUCUACCACGUGUACACUCUUCAUGAGGCCCAGUUAGCCUUCCUGCACUCCUGACAUAGACAGUGCUGCUGUUCCGAGGGAAUGUGGGCCCGAGGAGUGAGCAUUUGAGAAAGCAAAACCAAUGAAAGAAAGACAAGAAGUGCAAAGAAAGAAGAAAAAAGGCACUGAAGACAUUGUUUACAUUCUGAGAGUGGAAACAAGGCAGAGUGUCUCCCUGUCCGACCUUAGCUGGGAGCCCACAGAUCGGGUGACUCACUUUCACUUUGCUCCUGUCUGUGAAUGACUUCAGACUUGCUGCCCAGAGUUGAUUUAGGGUUACACACAUGUAUGCGCGCUUGUGUGUGCACGUGCACACACACACAUAUACACAAGCACACACGCAAAUAUGGUUUUCAAGAGUCUCAUCCAAAAUUCGGGGGUUGCUAAUGUGAUGGUUCUAAGAGGUAGGGCCUUUGAGGAGCAAUGAGGCCAUGAGGCUCCUCAUCUCUGAGUGGGAGGACCCAGAGACAUGGGCCAUCUUGGAAGCAGAGAGCGGCCCUUGCUAUGGUGUGCACCAAACCUGCUGGUGCCUUGGUCUUGGACUUCUCAGUUUCUAGAAGUGUGAGAAAUAAAUUCUAUUUUUUUAUAAAUUACCCAGUUUCAGGCCUUUUGUUAUAGCAACACAAAGACACGUGCUCACACUGCACAUACACACUGCCUCCUUGUUUUUUCUUCCCCAUUUUUCUUUCUCAAUUUGAUCAUUACGGCAGGAACAUUUCUCUUUAUUCCAUUGGUGAGCUACAAGUGCCAUGUAGGAGUUGAUGUUCAGAGGGAUAACAGACUCAGUGCCUCAAACCUUCAAUAUUUGUUAAGUAAAUGACUGAAUGCUUUAGGAAAAGUCCUUGAGUUAGGAACUAUUUCUUUACACUGAAAUCCUCAGUUCUAGUCAAUGUCUAGCUGUGGAUAGCUAAGUUUGAUAAGUGACUGAAUGAAGAAUAGAAUGACAUGUUUUAAACACUAAACUAAAGUAGAAGAACAGUGCUUAGUGACUCUGAAGUUUUUGAAAAGUAUCUAGAUAUUCUCUUCAGAACUUCACAAAAUUAUUUGUCAAUUUCUUCAUCUAUAUUUAGACUUACUUUACUUUGUUUUUUUAAAAAAAUUACUUCUUCAAUAUUGUUUUUUAGUCUUCUGACUUUAAAAAGAUUACUCAAUUUUAUUGAUUGCCAAUAAGAAUAUUUCAGCUCUGCAGUGAUUUAAAAAGAUUUUUAUAGAUGGAGAACUUAAUCUUUAUCUAUUUAUGAUUAUGUUCAUGAGAAAAAUAGAUUCCAAGGCCCAAAAAUUACACCUUACCUAUUGAUUUCUGAAAAUGUAAUUCAUUUCAUAAUGUGGG
rnacentral:lncRNA from 1 species